UCCGUAGGUGAACCUGCGGAAGGAUCAUUAACGAGUUCUGACUUGGGUUGUCGCUGGUCCUCCGGGACAUGUGCACACUCAAUGCUCAUCCACUCACCCCUGUGCACACUUGUAGUCUCUCUAAUGGAUGUUGAAGGCCUCACGGGCUGGAUCUAUCUAACGGGGGGAUUACGUUUUUAUACACGCAUAAAGUCUAGAAUGUAAUCUUUGCUAUAAACGCAUUUAAUACAACUUUCAACAACGGAUCUCUUGGCUCUCGCAUCGAUGAAGAACGCAGCGAAAUGCGAUAAGUAAUGUGAAUUGCAGAAUUCAGUGAAUCAUCGAAUCUUUGAACGCACCUUGCGCUCUCUGGUAUUCCGGAGAGCAUGCCUGUUUGAGUGUCAUGAAUCUCUCAACUCCUAAAGUCUGUAAUGGAUCUUAGGGGCUUGGACUUGGAGGCUUGCCGGUGUUCAUCGGCUCCUCUUAAAUGCAUUAGCUAUGGAUCACGAUGUGUUCGAUCUACGGUGUGAUACAUGUCUACGCUAUAGAUCUGCACGCGAGUUUCCGCCCUUUAGGGUAGUGCUUUUCGGAGCCGUGUGACGAGUGAAUACAGAGCUUCUAAUCGUCUUCGGACAACUAUCUUGACAUCUGACCUCAAAUCAGGUAGGACUACCCGCUGAACUUAAGCAUAUCAAUAAGCGGAGGA
rnacentral:rRNA from 1 species